rnacentral:rRNA from 1 species
CUGUCCAAGGAGGUCCUCGUCCAAGUCGUAUCGCUUGAGUCAUCCCAUGCGAUCUGGACCGCCUUGGCCACCAUGUUCUCUGCCGUGUCGUUGUCCCACGCCAACAACCUCCGUGUCGCUGUCAACAACGCGCAGAAGGGCUCCCUGUCGGCCUCCGCCUACUUCGGCCACAUGCGUUCCCUCUCCGACGAGCUCGCAGCGGUGGGCAAACCACUUGGGGAAGGGGAGCUCAUCUCCUUCAUUGUCGCCAGUCUUGACAUGGAUUACCAACCCAUCAUCUCCGCGCUAGACGUCCGCACCGAGCCCAUAACCGUCGAAGGUCUUUUCUCCCUCGUAGCGAACUUUGUGAAGGAAAUAUGCCCUAGAGGCAAUAAUGGUGGCUUCAAGUCGUCCGCCAAUGCUGCCUCG